GACGAACGCUGGCGGCGUGCUUAACACAUGCAAGUCGAACGGAAAGGCCCUGCUUUUGUGGGGUGCUCGAGUGGCGAACGGGUGAGUAACACGUGAGUAACCUGCCCUUGACUUUGGGAUAACUUCAGGAAACUGGGGCUAAUACCGGAUAGGAGCUCCUGCUGCAUGGUGGGGGUUGGAAAGUUUCGGCGGUUGGGGAUGGACUCGCGGCUUAUCAGCUUGUUGGUGGGGUAGUGGCUUACCAAGGCUUUGACGGGUAGCCGGCCUGAGAGGGUGACCAGCCACAUUGGGACUGAGAUACGGCCCAGACUCCUACGGGAGGCAGCAGUGGGGAAUAUUGCACAAUGGGCGGAAGCCUGAUGCAGCAACGCCGCGUGCGGGAUGACGGCCUUCGGGUUGUAAACCGCUUUCGCCUGUGACGAAGCGUGAGUGACGGUAAUGGGUAAAGAAGCACCGGCUAACUACGUGCCAGCAGCCGCGGUGAUACGUAGGGUGCGAGCGUUGUCCGGAUUUAUUGGGCGUAAAGGGCUCGUAGGUGGUUGAUCGCGUCGGAAGUGUAAUCUUGGGGCUUAACCCUGAGCGUGCUUUCGAUACGGGUUGACUUGAGGAAGGUAGGGGAGAAUGGAAUUCCUGGUGGAGCGGUGGAAUGCGCAGAUAUCAGGAGGAACACCAGUGGCGAAGGCGGUUCUCUGGGCCUUUCCUGACGCUGAGGAGCGAAAGCGUGGGGAGCGAACAGGCUUAGAUACCCUGGUAGUCCACGCUGUAAACGGUGGGUACUAGGUGUGGGGUCCAUUCCACGGGUUCCGUGCCGUAGCUAACGCUUUAAGUACCCCGCCUGGGGAGUACGGCCGCAAGGCUAAAACUCAAAGGAAUUGACGGGGCCCCGCACAAGCGGCGGAGCAUGCGGAUUAAUUCGAUGCAACGCGUAGAACCUUACCUGGGUUUGACAUGGAUCGGGAGCGCUCAGAGAUGGGUGUGCCUCUUUUGGGGUCGGUUCACAGGUGGUGCAUGGCUGUCGUCAGCUCGUGUCGUGAGAUGUUGGGUUAAGUCCCGCAACGAGCGCAACCCUUGUUCACUGUUGCCAGCACGUUAUGGUGGGGACUCAGUGGAGACCGCCGGGGUCAACUCGGAGGAAGGUGGGGAUGACGUCAAGUCAUCAUGCCCCUUAUGUCCAGGGCUUCACGCAUGCUACAAUGGCUGGUACAGAGAGUGGCGAGCCUGUGAGGGUGAGCGAAUCUCGGAAAGCCGGUCUCAGUUCGGAUUGGGGUCUGCAACUCGACCUCAUGAAGUCGGAGUCGCUAGUAAUCGCAGAUCAGCAACGCUGCGGUGAAUACGUUCCCGGG
rnacentral:rRNA from 1 species